rnacentral:rRNA from 1 species
UACGUAGGGUGCAAGCGUUUGUCCGGAAUUAUUGGGCGUAAAGAGCUCGUAGGCGGUCUGUCGCGUCUGGUGUGAAAACUCAGGGCUUAACCCUGAGCUUGCAUCGGGUACGGGCAGACUAGAGUGUGGUAGGGGAGACUGGAAUUCCUGGUGUAGCGGUGAAAUGCGCAGAUAUCAGGAGGAACACCGAUGGCGAAGGCAGGUCUCUGGGCCAUAACUGACGCUGAGAAGCGAAAGCGUGGGGAGCAAACAGG